AGCAGUAGCCGCGGUAAUACGUAGGGUGCAAGCGUUAAUCGGAAUUACUGGGCGUAAAGCGUGCGCAGGCGGUUAUAUAAGUCAGAUGUGAAAUCCCCGGGCUCAACCUGGGAACUGCAUUUGAGACUGUAUGGCUAGAGUGUGUCAGAGGGGGGUAGAAUUCCACGUGUAGCAGUGAAAUGCGUAGAUAUUUGUAGGAAUGCCGAUGGGGAAGCCAGCUUACUGGACAGAUACUGACGCUAAAGCGCGAAAGCGUGGGUAGCAAACAGGAUUAGAUACCCCCGUAGUCCCUGUCUCUUAUAC
rnacentral:rRNA from 1 species